GGGGGAAAAAUUAAUAAAUAAAAAUAAUAAUAAAAAAAAUUUUAAAAUUAAAUAUUUUAAUGGGGGUUAAAGUAUUUUAAUAGAAAAAAUUUUUAUGUUUAUAGUUAAUUAGUAUUGUAAAAGAAUUUUGAAAUAAUUGAAAAUAAAAUUCUUAAAAAAGUAAAUUUAAUUUAUUGUAUCUUGUGUAUCAGAGUUUAUUAAAAAAUUUUUAAAUUUUUAAAUUUCUCGAAUUUAAAAGAGUUAAUUAAUUAAUAAAGUUAUUGUGGCAUAAAUAUUUUUAAUAAUUAAUUUGAAAUGAAAUGUUAAUCGUUUUUAAAUAUAUCUAGUUUUUUUAGAAAAAAAUUUAAUUUUUAAUUUAAUUAAAAAAUAAAAUAAAUAUUUAUUUUAUUUUUUAAUUAAAUUGAAUAAUUUAAGGGAUAAGCUUUAAAUUAAAAUUUUAUAAUGAUUAUUUAAAUUAAUUUAAGAAUUUUAUAAUUUAUAUUGUUAAUAAAUUUUAAUUUAUUAUAAAUAAUUUUAGAAAAAAUAGUUAAAAUUUAAUUUUAAAUUUAAAUUUUUAUAAAAAAAUUUAUUUUAAUAAAAAUAAUAAAGAAAUUAUGAUAAAAUUAGUAAAUUAAAGAAAAAUAAAAAUUAAAUAUUUUAAAAAUAAGUAUUUUUAAGUAAUUCGGCAAAAAUUUAUAUUCACUUGUUUAUCAAAAACAUGUCUUUUUGAGAAUAAUUUAAAGUCUAAUCUGCCCACUGAUAUAUUAUUGAAGGGCUGCAGUAUUUUGACUGUACAAAGGUAGCAUAAUCAUUAGUCUCUUAAUUGGUGACUUGUAUGAAGGAUUGGAUGAGAUAUAAACUGUCUCAAAAAUAAUUAAUUGAAUUUAAUUUUUUAAUUAAAAAGUUAAAAUAUGUUAAAAAGACGAGAAGACCCUAUAGAGUUUUAUAUUAAAUAAUAUUUAAAUUAUUUAUAAAUUUCAUUAAUUAUAAAUUUUAUUUAAUAUUUUGUUGGGGUGAUAGAAAAAUAAAAAAAACUUUUUUUAAAAAUAGUCAUUAAUAAGUGAAUAUUUGAUCCAAUUUUAUUGAUUAUAAGAAAAAAUUACCUUAGGGAUAACAGCGUAAUUUUUUUUUUUAGUUCUUAUAAGAAGGAAAGUUUGCGACCUCGAUGUUGGAUUAAGAUAAAAUUUAAAUGCAAAAGUUUAAAAUUUUUGAUCUGUUCGAUCAUUAAAAUCUUACAUGAUCUGAGUUCAAACCGGUGUGAGCCAGGUUGGUUUCUAUCUUUUAAUAAUUUUAAUAUUUUAGUACGAAAGGAUCAAAUAUUAUAAUUAAAUUAUUUUUAUGAAUAUUAUUAAUAAAAAAUAAUAUUUUAUUUUUAAAAUUAGUUAUAUAUAA
rnacentral:rRNA from 1 species